ACCUGGCUGGCUCAGUGGGUGAAGCCUGUGACUCUUGAUCUCAAGGUUAUGAGUUCAAACCCCAUGUUGGGUG
rnacentral:tRNA from 1 species